UACGUAGGGGGCAAGCGUUAUCCGGAUUUACUGGGUGUAAAGGGAGCGCAGGCGGCGUGGCAAGUCAGAUGUGAAAACCCGGGGCCCAACCCCGGGAGUGCAUUUGAAACUGCCAUGCUGGAGUGCCGGAGAGGUAAGCGGAAUUCCUAGUGUAGCGGUGAAAUGCGUAGAUAUUAGGAGGAACACCAGUGGCGAAGGCGGCUGUCUGGUCUGCAACUGACGCUGAGGCUCGAAAGCAUGGGUAGCGAACAGG
rnacentral:rRNA from 1 species